CCGGAGCCUGCGGGCAGGAGCGGGGCCCGGCCCGGGCGCUGCAGGGAUGCGCAUUCCGUGUUUAAAAAUAGUGUGGGUGUGAGGGAGCAGGAGGCCUGGUAUGCUCGCAGCACCCGAGGAUGGGCAGUUCUCCGCUCCACGCUGCGGUUCCAGCAUUCGUGGAGAUGUCUAACACCCUCAUGGAGAUACCCUGCAUGCUCAUCCUACGGUUUAAGGCUUCACACACGGAGAUUUUUUUUAUCUGGAUGCAGUCCUGUGGUCAUCGAGGAAAAGAAAUUUAUAUUUAAAAGAGUGAGGAAUACAAGGCUGAGUACAUGCACUCAUGAAGGCUGAUGUUGCUCUCUAAUAUGUAUACAUUGAAAUUGUUUGUAGUUUGAGGGUUAUUUCUUUCCCUCAACAUGAAAAGAGAUAAAGCAGCAUCUCACUAUUGCAAUGCAAGACUGUAACCAUCAGGAGAACCGACUUGGAAUCCGAGUAUCAGAUUUCAUCCUUUCCUGGUCACUGUUCUUGUGGCCUGAUGUCAGGCCCUUCUGUGGGUCAAAGAACACCAGUUACAUGUAUUUUUAGUUUAUUAGGACAAAUUCCUGAGAUGCCUCUGGUGAACCAGGCUCUGUGGAGGGCCACUGCCAAAGGCAUGCUCUGACCACAGUGCUUUCACUCUAAUGCAGCACUGCAGCUCAUUCCUUUACUCUUUUUUUUGUCUUCUACAAAAGCCCCACAGCCCCAUCUCGCUCACUGCUGUUCAGGCACUCCGCAGCUCUGUCAUAAGGCAGAACCUCCAACUGAAAAGCUGUUUAUUUUCCUGCUUGUCUGUGUUAAACAUUCCCCUGCUGAGCCAUUUUUAAUAUUUGCUAAAUAUGCCUUAAUUACUGCUCGGAACCGUCUCUGUGAUCUUUUAACCAUGUUAUAAAAGGAGUUUAUGUAGCAAUUAGAAACAGGUUUUACCCCAGAGCAGGCACCCGGGUAGCCAGUGUCAUAUUUCUGAUAGCUAACAGCAUGUUAAAAAUGGAUCUGAGCCAGGCACCAACUACAAAAAGAGGCUUAUACACUUAAUUUUACCACAUGCUUUUAAAUUCAGAACCAUCUUUUGGAUUCUCUCAUUCUGGGCUGAAAAUCCUCUCCCUGAAGGCAGUGCUAAAACUCUCACUGCUUUAGACCACUGGGGUAGGAUUAGGUCCACAAUGUGCCUUGUUCUUUAAGAAUAACCACAGGCUUUGAUCAAAAUUAAAAUUUAAAAUGUUCACUGGCAAGACCACUAGUGGCCACGUGAGCAUAGAGAGAUGAGUGCUACAUUUUAGUUUUCCAGCUCUGCCAUGAAAAAUGCAUUUCCAUAUUUUUAAACCCAGAUCUCUCAUUCAGUCAUAGACUCCAGGUCUCAUAAAUUUUGCUUUUCUUUUUUUUUUUUUUAAUGAACUCAGCAUUUUGAGUCUCUCAAAAGUCAGGGGUUGCUGUUGCCCUCAUUCAUUUAGUGGCUUGUUCCAAGAUGAGUCUGCUGAAGGAUGAAAACAUGGAGCUGGAUUCCACAAAGCUUUUAUUCCUUAGCCAGCUUCAGGCCUCCAAGCAGCACCUUCUCCUCUCUCAUCACUUCUGCCCAUCCUAUUUUCCUCAUUUUCUGAAUUUUGCCUGUCUCGUGUAGGCUGUGAGCUCCUCAGGGCAGAGGCAAUGCCUCUAUUUAUAGAAGAGCUGUGAAGUGGUGCUGCUGAAUCAAGUGCUCUUUUGUAAUAACAAGAAAUUUUAGUGGAAAUAUGAAGUGGAAAAGCAGCUUCCUGGUGUAUCCACCUCCGCUCUGGACCGGGCUUUAGGGGAGACUGAGAAGUGGAAAAACUUCAGAUGUCUUUCAGAAGCCAGUGAAAGACACUUCACAUGCCUGUACCUCUUUUCACCCUGGGAAAGUCACAAAUUCUGAGGACAGAAAGGUUUUCCCACCAGCCUCUUCUGUGGAGGGUAAAUCUCCAUCAUAAAGCAUUUUUUAAGCAGCUGACCAGGACAGGGAUGAGAAUGUGUUUCAGAGCUUUUCCCUGGUUCUUGAAAGUGCAAAAUAAGCCUGGUGGAAGCAGCCAGACCCUGCUGGACAAGUGGAUACAUCUGGCCUGACUUCUGCAGCUGAUGAAGGGUGGCCAAGGACUUCAAUACAUUCUGUGUAUUUAAGACCAUUUUGGCAUUUUAUUAUUCAACAAAACACUGACAAACCCUCAGAAGGAGAUUGAAGUACCCAAAGACACGUGGGAUUUGUCUGCUGCAACAGCAAGAGGGUUGGCCAUGGCAGGACUGAGCACAGAGAGCAGCUUUUGGAGGUGCUCCCAGGUGGUACAGCAUGGAUAUUCUCUCUCUGGGAAUGCUUGGACCCAAUUUACAGCUGGCAAACAUUGAAGAAAUCAAAUAAAACUUCUUUUGUAAUGUUACAGUGAAGCAAGAAGAGUUCUCUUACAAGGCAAUGAGAAGAGAAACUCUAGGAAGAGAAAGAUAGGAUUGAAUAAGAUUUCAUUCAUUUCUUGCCAUCUGGGAAUAAAAUUUGUGAGGGAAUACUGUUCUUAUCCUUAUAAAUGGCCAAUAUCUUCUCAAACCCAGCAAAGCAGAGGGCAGGCAAGGUUUAUGGUUCACAUUAGCAGAUUCUAGUGACAUGAGUUUACAAUAAUGGUCUAAUAGUUCAGUGUAACAGUGACUCAUAGCUUAUUACUGUGGUGAUAGGAAUGUAAAGAGAUCUCAUUUGAAAAAAAAAUAUAUUUGGAUAGUUCACAUCCUUUCCUCCCUACUCAUGAAUUCCUGUGCCAUUGACUGCUAGCUGCUAAAAAUAGGAUCCUUUUUGUGUAUCUAAAGGGAAACCUAGAAUCAAAGAGACAGUGGGAGGGCACCAAGCUCCUUCCACACAGGGACUUCAGAAAAUAUUCGUAAUGAAAGCCCUCUGAGAGUGCAGGAAUGUUUUUAAAAGAUGGGAGCAAUCUCAGACAGUAUUUUGGAAAGAAGAAGGAGAGGAAUUCAUGAAUCACAGCAGUUCCCAGCUUUGGUAUUUUGCACCAUAGGGGUGGGAGGUACAGGACCAAGCUGCAGCUUUGUCUUGGAGAAGCUGUUCCACUUCAGAAGCAGGAAACUCCAGGGAACAGCCCAGGAACACCCCUGUGGGCCAGGAGCCACAAGAGGAGACUCAUUAGGAGUCAUUUGAAGUUGUACAAGUCCCUUAAGGACAGCAGCAGGAAAGAGGAUCUGGGAGGACACGAGGAAGGUAUCUGCAAACAAAAUGGAUUAUCACCACCACCCCUUCAAAAAAGAAAAAAACCCACGUGGCACCUCAGAAACAAACUGCUGAAGUGUGAAAUCAUGCAGCAGGGAAAGCUGUCACAGAGAAUCAUAAAUUUAUUUAAUAGACACAAAUUGACUGCUGCAUGAUUUGUGCAGAUUGCUGCUUGCUGAGAAGGAGAGAGAUCCACAGCUCUGGAGAGCUGAGCUCAGGCAACGCCUGGCAAAAGGUGUGGAAAGCAAAAAUCUUGUCUUUGGUAAUUGUACGUGUACUGAAUGCUUCCUCUUCAGUAGGGAACAAUUAAAAUCGAUGGCAGGAUGCAAGGUAACAAAAGGAAAUGACUGAUCAAUAUUCAUGUCUUGGAGCUGAAGACAAGGCCGUCUGCCAAGAGCAGCAUGCUGAUGAGACGAGAUUCUGAGAGGGAAGCUGAAAAGCUUCCACUCCUGAUGCUCAAAAACACAACACAGCUGAGCAGAUGCCAGGUGCAGUGCUAGGAGAGGUGAAGGCACCAAGGAGUCUAGAGAAUAACUGUUAGGAAAAGCAGGGAAUAUUAAUUUUUAGACUAAAUAGAUUUAAAGUAAAAAAUGUGAUGCUUCUCUUCUUUGCCUUUGUAAAGAUGUCAAAAGCCCUUUACUGAUAUUGAAAAAUUAUGGUCUUUACAUACCUGCGCAAGGUUUUAGAGCUACUGAGACAGUGAUAUUUUAAGGCAAAUGUCCAGUUUAUUCUUUGGCUCAAAGCAUUUGAAAUCUCAUUUCCCUCUAUGUUUCACUGGGUGGGUUUCUGUCAAGUGCUACCAAAAAUCAAACACUAAAUCUUCCAUUAUUCAGUAGUUUUAAAUCUGUCACCUACAUUUCUGAAUACUUUUGAAAAUGUUGCUGUAAAGCUGACUGUAGGGUCUGCCAUGGCCCAGUGGGACAGGGAAGAGCAUGUGGAACUCCAGGUUUGCUUUCCCAGUUUUUCCCCUCCUGAGUGGUAUUUGUUCCUGAGGCAACAGCCUCAGGAAUGGCACAUGAGCAGUUAAACACCCCAGGUCUUGCAGCUCAUACAUCUCAUUCUGCUGACACAGCUGAAGAUCAGAGCCAGAAAAAUGCUGCAAAAACUUUGUGAAAGUUCACUUCCUGGUAACCCCACAUUUGCCUGAACUCAAUCCCCAUGAAUUCCUAACUAGCAUCCUAAACAGUGGAUAAAGACCUAUUGCAUCACCUCAUAACUUUGAUUUCAUUAAGAAACCACAGAAGAUUGGUAGCAUUGAUCCUCCAUGUUCUCACUGGGCUUGAAGCAAGGGUUCUCCUCGUGGCCUGCAUCAUGUCACCCACUGCCUCCCUGCAGAGCCCUCCUGCUCUCUUGGCACAGGUGAAUAAGCAGCCACUGCCCUGAGGGGCCAGCAGGACCCAGUGCAUCAUUCCCUGGAGAGACACUGCUUUACUCUAUCCUUGUGGGAAUGCAUGGAAGGACUGAGAGCUGUGCAAAAUCUGUCUGCUCAGGGGCAGUUUGGACUGUUGAGGAAAUGCUGGCAUGUUCCUCCCAGUGCCUCUGGGCUCCCAGCCAUCACCUGCCUCCUCACUGGGGGUUCUCCGUGUUUCCUAUGAAGGGGAGGCUUGGAAGCACAGGAUGGAACAGCUGUGCUGUCCUUGGGCUCAGCUGGACUCACUGCACGUUGUCCUGCUCUCCAAGGCAGUGGGAAAGUGUGUGGAAACAGGAGGAAAAAGUUCCAAGCAACCUUUUGUAGAGAGCCAGAGUUAAGUGUUUCAUGGACAGUGCAGAUACAUUCGUUCUGUCCUUCCAGUCCAGCCCCACCAAACCCACCCUAAGCAAGACUAGGAAUUGGGGAAAUGGGAAUCAAAACCCCUCCACUGGCUGUGAGGCAGGAGAAACUCCAUGAGCAGCUGACACAGCCUUCAUUCUCUGAACUGCAGGGAUGCAUCCCCUGCCUUUGUGGGCAUCUACCCAGCUGAGAUAGAAGGACCAGGAUGGGCAAGGACAGCCCCAACCUCUGCCAUGGCACGAGCAGCUUUAUCAGUGGAAGAGGAUGAGGAAAAGGCACUGCUAAGCUGGGUUCUGCUGCAGAACAGAAAAUGCAUUGUUAGUAAAUCAGACUUUGGAACUGCUUAAGACUUAAACACAGCUUCAAUUAAUUAACCUUUCACAGCACAGCAGAGCCCCAGAGUGAAUACAACACUAUUCAGUCCCCUGACUGCAGAUUUUGUUGCAAAAUAAACAAGUUUUUCCAGGGCUGGGCUUGAUAGUGCUGAUCAAGAGGUUGGGUUGGGUUCAAAGUCAUCUCAAAGUCCUAGUGGGGAUACGAAAAUGGUUGUAACACCUAGAGAAAAUUACCUUUAACGAAAUAUUUGUACACAGCACAUGUUGUAAAGCCCCAAAUGGUGUGACAGAGGUACUUUUUAAUAAAUUCUAUGAGCAUAUUUCCCA